GUAAAUGCAGUUGAAUCUAUUUCUAGCAGCUGAAACUAUUUUUAGAAUAUUCCAACGCUGUUAAUGGUUAUAUCUUUUAUUCGUGAUUUCUAGUCUUACAGUUACUCAUAAAAUUGAGGAUUUACUUGUGUCCCCUGAAAUUGCAAAAUGAUAGCUGUCACUUAAACUUAUCAAUUAGAUUUUAAAGGAAAUGUUUCCUUUUUUGUGCUGAAUUGCUAGUAACAGAAAGUUAAGCCUCAAUGCUAUAUGAAAGAACAUUCUCCUUUGACUUACUCACAACAUAAACAAUAUUGUUUUAAUAAGUCUUGGUUUAUAAACAUGCUCAAAAUGAGAAGAUUGAGUAGUUAUAGUUUAUCUAAUGUGACGGAAGUUUAAAAGCCAAUCAAGUCCUUAAUUCAAUAUAAGUCAUGUUCGACAAAAAUCAGCUAGCCAAUCUUGACUUCAAGACUUUGUUUUUAAGAAAUUCAAUCUCUUCUUUAGGGAGUACACGCUAUACUUGCUAAAUUUCCUGAUACGCUUUUUUUUUAUUUACUUUAUUUGAUUCUUAUAUCACUAAUGUUUCUUUAAUUAUGACUUGAUUGUCCAGAUGCUAUCCUUAGUAUUAAAUGUGUUAAAAUGCCUCAUGUCACCCACUAGUCAAUCUACGUGCCUUAAUUGGUUAUAUUUUGACUUCAAAUGAAAUGUCCACAUCUCUAAGGAGGCACAUAUUUCUACUAACCAAUCUUUCUUCCUUUGCGAGAUGUUUCUGUCUAUGGAGUUUGAUUGAAGACGUUGCCUUGAAGAGAUAUGAAGAAGUGCUAGUCCUCUAAAAUGCUCUGACAUGGAGCAUUCCAUCUGUUGAAAUAGGAAGAGCAACAACAGAAAUAUAGUUUCUUUGAAGGUCAAAAAUACUAGGAGAUAGGAAAUUUCUCAAAAUUGCAGCAACUUGAGCUCUCUUAUAACCAUUUAUGCAAUGUACUAAUUUGAUGGCGAAUUCAGUCCCGUUCUACUUGGAGUUCUACCUGGAAUACUCUAAAGAUCCAAAAUUUGAAGUUUGAAGAACAUGUCCUUUAAAGAAAUUGCCGAGCAAAUACAAGUGCAAUAGGUUUUUAUUAUGUUAGUGGUGUUUUAAAGAUGUUAUCAUUUGUACAUACAAUUUUAGUUUUUUAGUCUUUAAGGAGUUGAUAAAAAUAUUGUCAUACAAUUUGGAUGGGUAUAUUUUUUGGUGAUAUGUACAUUUA